rnacentral:rRNA from 1 species
GAUGAACGCUGGCGGCGUGCCUAAUACAUGCAAGUCGAGCGAACAGACGAGGAGCUUGCUCCUUUGACGUUAGCGGCGGACGGGUGAGUAACACGUGGGUAACCUACCUAUAAGACUGGGAUAACUUCGGGAAACCGGAGCUAAUACCGGAUAAUAUUUCGAACCGCAUGGUUCGAUAGUGAAAGAUGGCUUUGCUAUCACUUAUAGAUGGACCUGCGCCGUAUUAGCUAGUUGGUAAGGUAACGGCUUACCAAGGCAACGAUACGUAGCCGACCUGAGAGGGUGAUCGGCCACACUGGAACUGAGACGCGGUCCAGACUCCUACGGGAGGCAGCAGUAGGGAAUCUUCCGCAAUGGGCGAAAGCCUGACGGAGCAACGCCGCGUGAGUGAUGAAGGUCUUCGGAUCGUAAAACUCUGUUAUUAGGGAAGAACAAACGUGUAAGUAACUGUGCACGUCUUGACGGUACCUAAUCAGAAAGCCACGGCUAACUACGUG